AACGUAGGAGGCGAGCGUUAUCCGGAUUUACUGGGCGUAAAGCGCGUGCAGGCGGUUCAGCAAGUUGGAUGUGAAAGCUCCUGGCUCAACUAGGAGAGGUCGUUCAAUACUACUGAACUUGAGGGCAUCAGAGGAAGGUGGAAUUCCGGGUGUAGUGGUGAAAUGCGUAGAUAUCCGGAGGAACACCAGUGGCGAAGGCGACCUUCUGGGAUGUUCCUGACGCUCAGACGCGAAGGCUAGGGUAGCAAACGGG
rnacentral:rRNA from 1 species